GAGCUCUGUAAGAAGCCGGGCUCUCAGUUUCAUUUUAUUCGAAUACUGAUACAUUUUUAAACUAAUAAAUCAAAAUGGUUGAGGGACAAAGAAGACGGGUUGAAGAGCAUAUGAAUAAAAUGGUGGAAGAGAUUGACAAAUCGUACCUUAGAAAAAUGCAGGGUGACAUGCAUAGGUGUGCUGCAACUUGCUGUGAUAGUGAGACUUACAGCAUACAAAAAGUACACAAUUGUGUAGAAAAUUGCAGUGGCUCUUUAAAUAAAGCUCAACAAUAUGUUCAACAAGAAUUUGAAAGAGCUCAGAAUCGAUUACAAAGAUGUGUCAUGGAUUGCAAUGACAAAAUAAAAGACAAAAUAGGACCAAGUCCAACACAGAAUGAAGUAGAUAGAUAUAGCGAUGAAUUUGAAAAAUGUGCCACAAAAUGUGUAGAUAGUUAUUGUGACGCGUUACCUGCAUUAGAGAAAACAAUGAAGAAAGUUUUAUCUAGUAAAAAAUAUGAAUACUAAUAGAAAUAAAACUAGUAAUUCAAAUUCUGGACAGACCAGACUGACAACAAAUACAUUUCGGUGGAUAUUGUAAGUACUGCAAGCAUGGAGAAGGC